CAGCAGCCGCGGGAAUACGAAGGGUGCAAGCGUUAAUCGGAAUUACUGGGCGUAAAGCGUGCGUAGGCGGUUUGUUAAGUCUGUUGUGAAAUCCCCGGGCUCAACCUGGGAAUGGCAAUGGAUACUGGCAAGCUAGAGUGUGUCAGAGGAUGGUGGAAUUCCCGGUGUAGCGGUGAAAUGCGUAGAGAUCGGGAGGAACAUCAGUGACGAAGGCGGCCAUCUGGGACAACACUGACGCUGAGGCACGAAAGCGUGGGGAGCAAACAGGAUUAGAUACCCCAGUAGUCCCUGUCUCUUAUAC
rnacentral:rRNA from 1 species